CAAGAUGUAUUUUUAAAAGAAAAAUUCUAAUUCUACAAAAGUCCUCCUGAUACCCAGACCCAAGAGGUUACAAGUAAACUAUAUAUACUCGUAAACAGAUGCAAAAAUUCUUAACAAAAUUCCAAAAUUUAUAUGGAGAUGCAAAGGACCUAGAACAACCAAAACAACAUUGAGAGUGAAGAGCAAAGUUGGAAAAUUUACACUAAAUUACCUGAUUCCAAUAUUUACUAUAAAGCCACAUUAACCCAGAAGCCAUUUUGUGGAUGGGAAGCAGUAUUUUGUGCUCUACAAUGAUUUGCUUUUGAACUAUCAAUGAAAAGGUUAAAACAAUAAAAAGACCCUGGUUCUCUGGUUUCUUGGAGAUUCUGUGAGCUAUCACUAUUCCUUCAGAUCUAUUCCUUCAGACAGAAGAAGAAGAAGAAGAAGAAGAAGAAGAAGAAGACGACGAAGACGAAGACGAAAACAAAAGAAUGGAAGCAGAAGAAAGAAACCUUCCUGUAAAGGGCAGAGACUUAAGGUGUGGACAUCUGAAAGUAGCAUCAUGUAGAAAAUUCAGGAUGAGACUGGUGGGCCUAAAAUUCUGCCCAUUAAUUAGGUUCUGAGAAUGUAGAGGCUGCUUUGGAAAACCAAAACUCUAUUACUAAUCCA